UGGGCCAUCACGAACAAAGCGUCCCUUUCAACCGGGCGAGUUUUCAGCCUGGCUGAGACGGGCCUCUAGUGGAAAAGGCAGGCGGGGGCGUCCCCUGGUGGGGGUGGGGGGCGUCCCGAGGCUGGAAGGAAGCUAAAGUCGCUAGCCUGGUUUAGACUGGCGGCUCUUCGGGGCAGGGACCUUAACUGCCCUCGUAGGGACCCCGUUAAAGAGAGCGUGGAGGGGAGAGGGUCUGAGCGCUUCUGCCUCCUGGCCUUCGGAGCUGGAGGUGGGGGAGGAGAGUAAAGGAGCUCAGAGUCGGUGCAGACAAUUCUGAUGCCCGUGCUUAUUUUUUAUCCUCACAACCACCCUGUGAGUUCAGCCGCCUGUUGAGAAGCGAAAUCCAUGGGGAGGCGUUUUGGUCCCGCGCCUUGCUUUAAAUCUUCAAUUCGGUUUAAGAGGAGAGGGAGACAGUCUGAACACCGCCUCCCUUUUCUACCCACACAGCUCAGUCUCCCCCAGUGCCUUACUCCAGAAUAAGCGCUCUGGGUUCCAUGUGAACUUACGUCUAUUUCGGAAUCUGCUCUGAGAUUCGAGCACCAGGACUCUUGGCCUCCCUUAGUUAGGAGCUGCUUUCAUCCGGAGUCAGAAGAGGGUCUGUCUGGACGGGUUCUUCCUGCAACACUCGUGACUCUACCCCACAACGACGCAGCCCGAUCCUAAAGAGGUCUCCCUGGAAGUAGGUGCCACCACCUGCCCGCGCGGUAGGAAGGAACACAGGAUCCAUACACACACCAGCCGUUUUCAGGAUGACAUCACUUAAUGAGUCCGCCCUACGGAAUGGGAGUCAGCCCCACUGCUGAACGUAGGGGGACUAACUUAAGAAAGGCUGCAUAAAAUGCCUCUUCAUCCGUAUUUGAGAAUGAUCACUCCCUGGUCUUGCCAACUUCGGCCACUUAUAGAAAAUUAGAAGUGUCCUGUCUUUUGGCAGGACAGGGCAUUUUUUUUAAAAAAAAUUGUUCAGUUUUUAAAUAACGGAAAUAAAUAGAUUUUUAAAAA